GCGAAAACUUUACAAUGCUGGCAACAGCGAUAAGGGAACCUCGAGUGCCAGGUUACAAAUCUGGCUGUCGAGAUGCCUAAAAAGCAUUUCAUAGCAAGGGCCGGGCAAGACCGGUGCCAGCCGCCGCGGUAACACCGGCGGCUCGAGUGGUAACCGUUAUUAUUGGGUCUAAAGGGUCUGUAGCCGGCCGGAUAAGUCUCUUGAGAAAUCGGGCAGCUUAACUGUCAGGCUUUCAGGAGAUACUGUCUGGCUCGAGGCCGGGAGAGGUGAGAGGCACUUCAGGGGUAGGGGUGAAAUCUUGUAAUCCUUGAAGGACCACCAGUGGCGAAGGCGUCUCACCAGAACGGACCUGACGGCAAGGGACGAAAGCUAGGGGCACGAACC
rnacentral:rRNA from 1 species